rnacentral:misc_RNA from 1 species
AACCGUCACGGUUUUACUCUUGUGAUUUGUUGCAUG